AGUCCAUUAUUUAUCGCUAAAUAAAUAUCGUCAAGGUUCCGUUUGAUUUUAAAAGGAAUUGGAAUUAAAUUGAAGUAAUUAGAAGUUGAGGAGUGUAGUUGUAAGAAAUGCCAAAGUUGAGCAUGAUUGUGGACAUUUUCCCUACCCAAAGCAAUAAGAAAAUCACAUAUGGAAACCCACCUCCUCAUUUGUAUAGCAUAUCCACAAUCAGAUAUGAAAUUUAUCAAACCAAACCUCUAUUCCUUUAGAAUUGCCGAAGCCUUCAAUUCCUCUCCUUCACUAUGAACAAAACCUACGGCAACCAUCAAAGUUCCACCGUCCGGCCACCGUUUGUUAUGAUUUUAGCUUGAUUGUAUAGCUAACAUCUGAUGGAUUAAGAUACGACGGAAUAUCGACAUACGAGCUUGGAGAAUCAAGGGAGCUUGAUAAGAAUCGACGUUAUCUUAUUUAUGUUGGAUUGGAUAGCGGUCACUGUGAGUUUAAAGUUUACUUUUGAGUAUUGUUUAUUGAACUAUCUGCUUUAUCUUUGUUAUAUUAUAUGCUUUUUCUGUCGCGUUAUCCUUAUGGUUAUAUGUUUAUUAAUUUGAUUUGUGAUGAACUUUGUUCUAACAAUCCGAAGAAACGUGCUACCUAUUGGGCGUCAAUAGGACUGCGUGAUCACCAGUACUGAGGUUAGAUAAUCCUGUGUCCUAGAGAUUCGUAUGAACUACUAAAUCAGAUGGCGACGGUGGCUUAGUUCCCGGCCAAAACUUAAAGGGAAGCUGUGGCGACGGUGGCAUUGUUCCCGGCCCAGAGACCCAACGCAGAUUUGUGGCGACGGUGGCUUUGUUCCCGGUCCAGAUGCUGCUAUAAUUUCGCAGAUUUCUGGCGACGGUGGCUUUGUUCUCGGUUCAGAUGCUGCUAUAAUUUCGCAGAUUUGUGGCAACGGUGGCUUUGUUUCCGGUCCAGAUGCUGCUAUAAUUAAACUCAUUAGGUUCUGUAGUUGGUAUUUUAAGAAUCUUUGGACUAGGGUUUCAGUCGGAUCGUAUGAUGAUGUGUUGUUGAUGUUUGAUUUAUGAAUUAUUAUUCGAGUAUUUAAAAAUAUGUUAGAUGCUUACAUGAUUUUUAUUAUAAUACCAUCUGUAAACGUAAACUCACUCAGUAUUUCCCAAAAUACUGACUCCCUCACUCUGAUGUUUUUCAGGUAGUCAGAGUCGGAUUAGACAAACCAUCUUCAUUGUGCCAGAAGUCGUCGGACUUGCACAAGUAUGCGUUUCUGAAGCUGCAGUAGUCAGUAGGUGUCAGUUUAGGAUUAGUAAAUUGAUUUCAAAUAGUUGUUUUGAAUGUAAACUCUAAUAUAAUAUUUCAAUAUUUAUCGGUAUAUUACUUAAAAGAGUUUUUCCAAAAAUGUUUCAUAUAUUA